rnacentral:tRNA from 4 species
AUUCAAAUAGCUUAUAGUUAGAGUAUGACACUGAAGAUGUUAGGGAGAUAAAUUUAUCUUUGAAUA